GUUUGCUCUUGCUGGGAGCACCCCAGGUUGCUAUUUUCAGCUCAGGAUCCUAGAGGGAGUCCUGGCGGCAAGGCAUAGGGCUCUCGGUGGAGGCCGCGAGCGAGGUGCUGCUCACUUCGGCAGCGCAGGAAGCAGCACUGCUCAUCCAUUCCUCCCCUCUUCCUGUUCCACCCCCCCCCGCUCGUCAAGUGAUUGUCUGCGGUGGAGAUUUUUUUUGUUGAUGCACAAUAUCUGGGUGCUGCAUACAUGUGCAGUGCAAGAGAUAAAGAGCCAGUUUGGUCACCGACUUUCAUUCUGUGACACAUCCAGUAUAGAAAGCAAUUCAAACAGCAGGGAAACCACACCAAAACUAGCUACCCAAAGGUGCAGAGAUCCAGUGGAAGGAUGGGAAACUGCCUACCAAGAAUAAGGUGGAAAACAUGCAUCUGCAUCCGGAGAAAAAGAUACUCCCACAAGGAAACACAGACCUGCAGCUAUUCACCAAGAACUAUUGAGGAACAUCUUGAGGGAAAAGAUUAUGCUAAUACCAGUGAACUGUGGUAUUCUACUGUCAACCAUGAUGUAAAGCAUGAACCCUCUGUAGUUAAUACCAGUGACGGGACAGAAUACGCAACUGUCAGCAUGCCUAAGAAUAAGCGAACUAUCACCAGCUCUGAAGACAACAAUGAAUAUGAUUAUAUCCUGGUAAACUAGAAAGUGGCACUUUCUGCUGCCAAGACACCCUUUUGUUUGAAUAUAUAAGCUAGUAGUGUGCAGUCUUCCUAACCACCUUACCUGCUAUGUCAGAUCUUCAAGCAAACCGGAGAGCAUCUCUCUCACAUUACAAAGGUUACACACUAGGACAAAUCUGCCAGCUAUUUCCAAUGAGACAAAUUUGUCCAUUGAAAGGUGAUCACAGAAAAAGACAUGAGCAGAGUACAGGGCUCCACUUUAUAACUAAAAGAAGAAGAACCAGUGUAACUGCCAUUGCAAGAUAAUGUUUCUAUACAGCAAAUAAGGCUCUUCAUUAGUAGAAGAACUAGACUCUUACAGUGCUUUUAAAUGUUUUUUAAGGGAUCUAAUAAAACUGUCAGUGGAAAUCUCA
rnacentral:lncRNA from 1 species